rnacentral:lncRNA from 1 species
UAUUAAAUGAAGUUUGGAAUGAUGAAGAAUUUUUCAAAAGGGAGCAAGAGUUUAGUCAUCAGAGUCAAUAGUAAAUACAAGUUCCUGGGAGAGGAAGGCCAUAGUUCAUCUGGGGAUCUACUGGUUGGUGUUGCUAGACCAACAUAGGGGAGUACAGAACCAAGAUAAUGUGAUGAGAGGUUAAAAAUGAAGAUUCAAUCAACUGUGGCUGAAAUCUCUGGCUCCACCGUCACUAGCAGAAAUGCUACACUUAGAAUUUCAUGGGAAGGAGGCAUUGCUUCAUGGGAGGAAGUAGUGAGGAAUAUGGAAACACCUGAUCUCUCUGCCUUCCAACUUCAAAUGUGUGCCCUUUCUAGAAAGCUGAAGACAUGCCCAUGGACUAAUGGGAUCUUUCCUGAAACCAGAGCUCAUCCCCAAAAGGAUGAGCCCUGACAUAGGGAACUGGAAUUUAAGGAGAAGCCUUGAUCAGUUCAAGACAUCUAAGAAGCUGACACCAAGUCAAGACAAGAAGAUGAAGGCCAAAAAAAUAAAAUAGGAGAAGAGACUGAAGAAGGUAUACA